rnacentral:rRNA from 1 species
GACGGAGGGUGCUAGCGUUGUUCGGAAUCACUGGGCGUAAAGGGCGCGUAGGCGGCCCAUGGUGUCGGAUGUGAAAGCCCGGGGCUCAACUCCGGAGGUGCAUCCGAAACUCAUGGGCUCGAGGUCGGAAGAGGAGGGUGGAAUACCCAGUGUAGAGGUGAAAUUCGUAGAUAUUGGGUGGAACACCGGUGGCGAAAGCGGCUCUCUGGUCCGACACUGACGCUGAGGCGCGAAAGCGUGGGGAGCAAACAGGAUUAGAAACCCUCGUAGUCC